UCCCUGGUGGUCCAUUGGCUAAGGCUCCUGCUUCCAAUGCAGGGGGAUCUGGGUUCAAUCCCUGGUCUGGGAG
rnacentral:tRNA from 1 species